CUGGGUUGCGUUUGCUGCUAUUUUGAGCGGCUUGACCUGCAUUAACAGGAGGCAAUCUGAGCCAGGAGCUAAUUGGCAGCAGGCCGUCCGCGUGGCCGCGGUCUCACUGAGUUUGGCGGAGUCCUUCGCCAUUUUCUGAAGAGAUCGAAUGCAAAAGCAUUUCUGCUAUUUCACCAGCCCCCGAGGUGCAGCCACCAGCAGAACAGUCUGCGUUUUACCGAACUACUCCUGGGGCACGAUGCAAUAAAGAAUAAAGUUGAAUCACCAGCGAAUUGAGCCAAUCUGAGGGAUCGUGAUGAAGCAUUUGAAAGGAAGGGGAGGCUGUGUCUGUGCAAUGGCAGAGGUGAAGAAGCACAAGUACAGCAAAGUGAAACAACAAGCCGACAGGGCUCAUUAAAAAGAAGAGUCAACCUUGGAUUUACUUUUCCUUGACGGCGACAGCUAAAAUUCAAGGGCAUGGAAAGGGACAUGGAGUUGGCGAGUUUUCUGUUUGACGUGUAAGUCAUGUAACCUCUAGCUAUUCAGCUAGUUACGUUAGGUAACUAGAUCGCCUAAGUUGGAUACUCAAGGUGAACGGGCGGGGUUGAAGACGGAGGAUUGUAGACUUUGAGACUUUUGUUGAGAUUUUGAUUGUAAACACAGUACCGCAGCAAGGCAAAAAAAAAAAGAUUUAAAAAAAAAAAAAAAACUUCGUAGUAUGCCUUUAAGUCAUACUAAAGUCCACACCAAAUACAUUUUAUUUAUAUCCCAAAUAAUGCAUUAAGAUCUGUUUUAGGGCAUCAUCGCAUAGCCACAGUGAGCACUGUCAAACCUCAUAAAGGUCUCAGAGGCAGACAGUAAUAGGACUGACAAGGCAAUCAUUUACACGAUUCACAUGAAAUGACCAGCCUCUCGGUGCCACUGAAAUCCAAUUAGACAGAUUUAAGGACUUCACCCUAACUGAUUACAGCAACCUGUCCCCAGACACACCUGAGCACUUUCAAAUCCUUUUACAGGAAGAGUAGAAUAAGACGGGUUUAUCAGGACGUGGUGAAGCACAACACAAAUUCCACAGGUCGAAUCAUGGUGAGAGUUACAGGAGCGUUUGAG